rnacentral:rRNA from 1 species
UGGGGAAUAUUGGACAAUGGGCGCAAGCCUGAUCCAGCAAUGCCGCGUGUGUGAAGAAGGCCUUCGGGUUGUAAAGCACUUUUAUCAGGAACGAAAAGCGUGGGGUUAAUACCUUUACGUGCUGACGGUACCUGAGGAAUAAGCACCGGCUAACUUCGUGCCAGCAGCCGCGGUAAUACGAAGGGUGCAAGCGUUAAUCGGAAUUACUGGGCGUAAAGCGUGCGUAGAUGGUUUGUUAAGUCGGAUGUGAAAGCCCCGGGCUCAACCUGGGAACUGCAUCCGAUACUGGCAGACUAGAGUGUGGUAGAGGAUGGCGGAAUUCCCGGUGUAGCGGUGAAAUGCGUAGAGAUCGGGAGGAACAUCCGUGGCGAAGGCGGCCAUCUGGACCAACACUGACGUUGAGGCACGAAAGCGUGGGGAGCAAACAGGAUUAGAUACCCGAGUAGUCCCUGAGCGGGCUGGCAAGGCGCAU